rnacentral:rRNA from 1 species
GCCUGCCCAGUGACCAUGUUCAACGGCCGCGGUAUCCUAACCGUGCGAAGGUAGCGUAAUCACUUGUUCUUUAAAUGUGGACUAGUAUGAACGGCACCACGAAGGUUAUACUGUCUCCCCUUUCUAAUCAGUGAAACUAAUCUCCCCGUGAAGAAGCGGGGAUAAUUCUAUAAGACGAGAAGACCCUAUGGAGCUUUAAACAACACAGCACUUACUAAAUAUCCUUUAAUGUUCCUGUANACUUUNAACUCUUUAAAGUAAGGUGACUGCAAGUUUUCGGUUGGGGUGACCACGGAGUAUAUCAUAACCUCCAUGUUGAAAGAACUUUNNUCUAAGCCAAGAAUAACCAAUCUAAGCAUUAACAAAUUAACAUCUAUUGACCCAAUAAAUUUGAUCAACGAACCAAGUUACCCUAGGGAUAACAGCGCAAUCCACUUCAAGAGCUCCUAUCGACAAGUGGGUUUACGACCUCGAUGUUGGAUCAGGGUAUCCCAGUGGUGCAGCCGCUACUAAAGGUUCGUUUGUUCAACGAUUAAAACCCUACGUGAUC